GGGGGAUUUGUACUGUCUAUUGCUGGUCGUAGAUAAGGGCGCAUCAUCUGGUUUGGAGGUGAAAAUUCCUGAGAACCAAAUUGACCAGCUGGCCUGGAAACAACUUGAGAGGCUGGAUUCUGUGGAUGGUGAGGCUGGAAUGUAAAAUCAAUACUGGUCUGCAGUGGUUUUGGAGUUCCAGAGGAAGGAGGUCUCAUAGAAUUAAUAUUAAGAGAACUUCCAGGAGUUGGAUUAGGUGAGAGAUUAUGCAUGACUGGUUGUCCGCUAGAUACAGGGUGGUUCAAGAAAUGAGCAGGGGUAGAUCCUGAAGAUGGAUGCAUUGGAGGAGGCAUACGUGUUUGAGAUUGAAAAACAGAAUUAGUAGAUGGAGUUGGUCCAGAUGACUGGGGUGCUAAAUUAUGGCCACGCGAAACAUCUAUAUGUGGACCUGUAGAGACACCCAUUGGUCGUGAAGAAAGAUGAUGACUUCCUUGACCUGUCUGGGUGUUCCAUGGUGACUGUGACCAUCCAGGAGAGCUCCCGCCUGGGGUCAAUGGCCGGUCUGAGUAUGCCAUAGGAGGGAUAGACUGAGGCGUUGAAGACAUAACAGAUCUCAACCCCUGUGGAAACCCUGUUGGAUUCGGUUGGCUCUGAGAAAAUUGAGGUGGAGUCAUAUUGGAUUGAGUUGGUGUGGACCCUAAAGAUGGCAUCGGAUGUCUAGGUCCACCAAUUUGUCCGAGGUGAGUGGAAGGCAUGAAAGGCUGCCGCAUUAGUGGUGGUGCCUGUGGGCUAGAGUUAACAAAAGGGUUUCGCGGAACUGAACCAAAUCCAUCUGCCAUACCCUGUGGUGGGCCAAAGGGUGAGGGUGCAUUUGACGGGUUGGUAGGUAAUGGAGAUACUUGGUGAGGGUUGCUGACCAGGGAUGCUGAAGAACUCCAGGAGUUAAUGGGUCCUGGAAAUGGAGUUACUGGAUUCUGAGAUGCAGGUUCAGGAAACCAUUGUCCUUGAUAUGGCUGAAAAUGACCUUGUAAUUGAGUAGGUUGCAUCCCCACAACUGGUUGAGCCACCCCUUGAUUUACUACAGGAGGCGUCGUUGGGCCAGGUGUUGCUUCACCGGAAAUAGUUUCUCCAUCACCUGACGUUUUUGUGGUAGUCGACGCUGGAGUCAC
rnacentral:lncRNA from 1 species